GAUGAACGCUAGCGAUAUGCUUAACACAUGCAAGUCGAGGGGCAACACAAGGUAUCUUGCUAUCUGGGUAGCUACCAGCGCACGAGUGCCUAACACGUAUGCUACUUGCCCUAUACGGGAUAGAUAACCCGUCCAAAGACUGACUAAUACUGCGAAUGCUCGCUACUUGACAUCUUGUAUUGAGGAAAGAAAUUCUGUAUACGAUAUGCAUGCGUCCCAUUAUUCUUGUUGGUGAGGUAACAGCUCAUCACCGCAACGAUGAUUAUGGGACACAGAUGAGGAUUAUCCCCCACCCUGGUACUGAUAAAACGACCACACUCCUACUGGAGGAAGCAGUGAGGAAUAUUGGUCAAUGGUCGACAGCCUGAACAACCCAAGUCGCGUGAAGGAUGACUGUCGUAUGCAUAGCAAACUUCUUUUAUACAGGAAUAAAACGAGUCACAUGUGACUCCCUGCAUGUACCGUAUGAAUCAUCAUCGACUAACUCCGUGCCAUCCGCCGCGGUAAUACCGAUGAUGCGAGCGUUAUCAGGAUUUAUUGGAUUUAAAGGGUGCAUAGGCGGUUUGUUAAGUCAGACGAGACAUAUAUAGGCUCAGCCUCUAUACUGCCGUUGACACUGGCAAACUUGAUUGUAGAUGAGGUAGGGGGAUUUCGUGUUGUACCGGUGAAUUGCAUAAAUAUCGCAAGAACCUCCGAUUGCAAAGGCAGCUUACUGAUGGACAACUGACGCUGAAGCUCGAAAGCGUGGGUAUCAAACAGGAUUAAAUACCCUGGUAGUCCACGCUGUAAACGAUGAUAGACUGGGCGUAUGCCAUAUACAGGACUCUCCUAAGCGAACGCGUUAAUUUAUCCCCCUGGGGAGUACGCCGGCAACGGUGAAACUCAAAGGAAUUGACGGGGGCCCGCCCCAGCGGAGGAACAUGUGGUUUAAUUCGAUGAUACCCGAGGAACCUUACCCGGGAUUGAAAUGUAGUUGACAGGCGGUGAAAGCUGCUCUCCCUUCGGGGCAUGUAGGUAGGUGCUGCGUGGUUGUCUUCACCUCGUGCCGUGAGGUGUCAUGCUUAAGUGCCAUAACGAGCGCAACCCCUGUCUACUGGUGCCAUCUGGUAAUGCUGGGAACUCUGUAGAGACUGCCGUUGUAAGGCGUGAGGAAGGUGGGGAUGACGUCAAAUCAUCACGGCCCUUACAUCCGGGGCGACACACGUGUUACAAUGGUAUGGACAGAGGGCAGCCACUUGCCGACAAGGAGCAAAUCCCUAAACCGCAUCACAGUUUGGAUUGGAGUGUGCAACUUGACUCCAAGAAGGUGGAUUCACUAGUAAUCGCGCAUCAAUCAUGGCGCGGUGAAUACGUUCCCGGGCCU
rnacentral:rRNA from 1 species